rnacentral:sRNA from 1 species
ACCUCCGCACCAUCCUGGGGGACAUGCUGGUGACACAGGCUCUGGACUUCCCAAAUCCCGAGGAGCUGCCGUCCCCAGAGCCAGCCCCUCACACGGCGGUGGUUGAAUAACUGACUGACCGGCUGCCACAGGGGCGAGAAGGCCUAACUUCAUCCUCCACGUUGGCCCCCACAGCAGCUGAAGGGCCGGGUCCUGGUGAAGGGAAAGAAGCUGCCCGCUGCUCGGAGCGAGGAUGGCCGGGCUCUGUCGGAUCGGGAGGAGGAGGAGGAUGACGAGGAGGAAGAAGAGGAGGUGGAGGCUGCAGCGCAGAGGCGGCUGGCCAAGCAGAUCUCCCCGGAGCUGUCGGCCCUGGCCGUGUACUGCCACGCCACCCGCCUGGGAACCCUGCACCCUGCCCCCAACGCCCCGCAACCCUGCCAGGUCAGCUCCCUCAGCGAGCGCAAAGCCAAGAAACUCAUUCGGGAGGCAGGGAACAGCUUUGUCAGGCACAAUGCCCGCCAGCUGACCCGCGUGUACCCGCUGGGGCUGCGGAUGAACUCAGCCAACUACAGUCCCCAGGAGAUGUGGAACUCGGGCUGUCAGCUCG